UACGUAGGGGGCAAGCGUUGUCCGGAAUCAUUGGGCGUAAAGAGCGUGUAGGCGGCCCGGUAAGUCCGCUGUGAAAGUCGAGGGCUCAACCCUCGAAUGCCGGCGGAUACUGUCGGGCUAGAGUCCGGAAGAGGCGAGUGGAAUUCCUGGUGUAGCGGUGAAAUGCGCAGAUAUCAGGAGGAACACCUACGGCGAAGGCAGCUCGCUGGGACGGUACUGACGCUGAGGAGCGAAAGCGUGGGGAGCGAACAGG
rnacentral:rRNA from 1 species